rnacentral:rRNA from 1 species
UACAGAGGGUGCGAGCGUUGUCCGGAAUCACUGGGCGUAAAGGGCGCGUAGGCGGGCCGCCGCGUCCGGGGUGAAAUCCUCCCGCUCAACGGGAGAACGGCCUCGGAUACGGGCGGCCUGGAGGCGGGUAGGGGCACGCGGAACUGUGGGUGGAGCGGUGAAAUGCGUUGAGAGCCACAGGAACUCCGGUGGCGAAGGCGGCGUGCUGGACCCGUCCUGACGCUGAGGCGCGAAAGCCAGGGGAGCGAACGGG